rnacentral:rRNA from 1 species
UGAGUAACCUGCCCUUAACUCUGGGAUAAGCCUGGGAAACUGGGUCUAAUACCGGAUAUGACUCCUCAUCGCAUGGUGGGGGGUGGAAAGCUUUAUUGUGGUUUUGGAUGGACUCGCGGCCUAUCAGCUAGUUGGUGUGGGUAAUGGCCCACCAAGGCGACGACGGGUAGCCGGCCUGAGAGGGUGACCGGCCACACUGGGACUGAGACACGGCCCAGACCUCCUACGGGAGCAG